rnacentral:rRNA from 1 species
GACGAACGCUGGCGGCGUGCUUAACACAUGCAAGUCGAACGGAAAGGCCCUGCUUUUGUGGGGUUCUCGAGUGGCGAACGGGUGAGUAACACGUGAGUAACCUGCCCUUGACUUUGGGAUAACUUCAGGAAACUGGGGCUAAUACCGUAUAGGAUCUCCUGCUGCAUGGUGGGGGUUGGAAAGUUUCGGCUGUUGGGGAUGGACUCGCGGCUUAUCAGCUUGUUGGUUGGGUAGUGGCUUACCAAGGCUUUGACGGGUAGCCGGCCUGAGAGGGUGACCGGCGACAUUGCGACUGAGAUACGGACCAGACUCCUACGGGAGGCAGCGGGGGGGAAUAUUGCCCAGUGGGCGGAAGCCUGAUGCAGAAACGCCGCGUGCGGGAUGACGGCCUUCGGGUUGUAAACCGCUUUCGCCUGUGACGAAGCGUGAGUGACGGUAAUGGGUAAAGAAGCACCGGCUAACUACGUG